rnacentral:tRNA from 1 species
CUUUUGUCAAAGCCAAAUAGAGGCAUCUUAUUGUUAGUAAGAUAAUUGGUGUAAGCCUGAUAAAAU